GCAGUUGGAGAUAGCUCAGUUGGUUAGAGUGUGGUGCUGAUAAUGCGCAGGUCACAGGUUUGAUCCCCAUAUAGGACAAUUGCA